CAGAAAUAUAGAACUUCUAACCAUCACAGAGUUUAAUUAUGGGGCUAAGAUUCAUUCAGCAGUGCAUUUUUAUACUCAUGAUAACACAAGGUUUCUGCGGCGCUGAGAUCAGACUGGACCAGUCUCCUGCUGUGGUAAAGAGACCUGGAGAAACUGUGAAGAUCUCCUGUAAAAUAAAUGGGUAUUCAAUGACAAGCAACAAUAUAGGCUGGAUACGACAGAAACCAGGGAAAGCUCUGGAAUGGAUUGGUGUGAUGAUUACAGGCGAUAAUAGAGGAACAUAUGCAGAGUCUGUGAAAGACCAGGUCACCUUUACAGAAGACGUUCCAGCAAGCACACAGUAUUUAGAGGCCAAGAGUCUGAAGACAGAGGACACUGCGGUUUAUUACUGCGCUCGAUAA